rnacentral:rRNA from 1 species
AGAACGAACGCUGGCGGCAUGCCUAACACAUGCAAGUCGAACGAUCUCUUCGGAGAUAGUGGCGCACGGGUGCGUAACGCGUGGGAAUCUGCCCUUGGGUUCGGAAUAACAGUUGGAAACGACUGCUAAUACCGGAUGAUGACGUUAAGUCCAAAGAUUUAUCGCCCAGGGAUGAGCCCGCGUAGGAUUAGCUAGUUGGUGAGGUAAAGGCUCACCAAGGCGACGAUCCUUAGCUGGUCUGAGAGGAUGAUCAGCCACACUGGGACUGAGACACGGCCCAGACUCCUACGGGAGGCAGCAGUGGGGAAUAUUGGACAAUGGGCGAAAGCCUGAUCCAGCAAUGCCGCGUGAGUGAUGAAGGCCUUAGGGUGUAAAGCUCUUUACCCGGAUGAUAAUGACAGUACCGGAGAAUAAGCUCCGGCUAACUCCGUGCCAGCAGCCGC